UAAAGAGGAAGACUCAGAUUUAAUUAUCACAUUUAACUUACACACAAGCAAGAGACGCACAGUUGCAGCUGACAGCAGUGGCUUAGUACUUGGUUCUUUCCAGUGAAAAAUAAUACACAGCAUACCUGCAGUACCCUUCAAAAUUUUUCAUUUUGAAGUACCAACAUUUUACUUCGUAAUUAAGUAAAGCCAUCAUAAGAACGCAGCAGAAAUAAAAGUAGUAUUUUUUUUUUUCCUAGAAAAAAAUUAUAUAUCUACAGAAAACUGGAAGUACUGAAGGAAAUCGUAACAAAUAUGUCAUCAUUCAAAGUAGAAUUUUCACAGAAAUUUGCAUUUGAGAUGUUGGCUAGUACCAAGAGGUUUCAAAACUUGCAAACUAAGACCCACCUAUCGGCUACUGCCAUUACAUGGAGGAUUUGCAGGUGCUGGAUUGUAGAAUGUGCCUGGAUUCUUGCCUGGAUGAGACAGAUGUUCUUCAUUUCCCCCAAAAGACAACAGUGAAGAGGGAGAGUAAUGACAUCAUUAUACCAGAAGAGAAUUUGGAAAGAUUCCUGUGUAGAAAAUACUAUCUGUUAGUAGGAGUAAUAAGCCCCCAAGGCAACUAAUUUCUAUUUUGAAUUGUUUGGGACAGCUUCAGACACUAAGCCAAAAGAUGUCUGGAUGAAUAGAUGCUAGGGAAAAUAAUCCCCAGCCCACCUCUCCCAUUUCACAUUCAUGGUGCAACUUACACAAAACUGAUAUGCAAAAAUUUAUUCAGCAACAGUAUGAAAAUGAGCCCCACAAAAGCAUAAAACAAAGUUUCCACAUUUCCAGAUAAAUUCAAGGUUUUGUUUGGAAGAAUUCCAUGGGAUACGGCCCUGAUGAGAAGGAGAGUCCAAGAGAGCUGGUAGAUUUUCAAGGAUGGUCCAUCCCCACAUAAAGGAAAUAAAGCAAAGAUGGAAGGAUGUACGCAUACGUGAAAAAGCAGCUCCUGAGAAAAGUCAAACGCAAAAAGGAAGCAUACCAGAGGUGGAAGCAUGGAAGAACCUAGAGAAACUAUUUUAGCACACACAGAUAGGGCUAGGAAAGCCAAAACUCAUCUGGGGUUAAAUCUGGUGAGAAAUAUGAAAAGCAAAAUUAAAACCUGCAGUAUACCUAUAGGUAUAUAAGCAGCAAAAGAAAGACAAGGGAAAAUGUGAUCCCACUGCUAAAGGGGGCAGGGGAAUUAGACAUAAAGGGCACAGAAAAGGCUGAGGUACUCAAUGCUUCUUCACAACAGUCUUUAGUGGUAAGACCGGACUUCAGCAACCACAGGUCCCCAGACCACUAUUGAGUCUGGAGCAAGGAAAGCGCACCCUUGAUGAAUAGGAACUGGACACACACAUGCUGCUUGACUGGAUGAACCCACAGCUGCAUGAUGUUAUUGCAAGACCGUUCUCAGUCACCUUGGAAAAGUCACAGUACACAGGAGAGGUUUCUGGGGACUGAAAGCAAGCCAGGGUCAUAGAAUCAUGGAAUAAUAGUAUGGUUUGGGUUGGAAGGGACCUGAAAGAUCACCUUGUUCCAACCUCCCUUGCCAUAGGCAAGGACACUUUCCACUAGACCAGGUUGCUCCAAGCCCCGUCCAACCUGGCCUUAAGCACUUCCAGGAAUGGGGCAGGAACAACUUCUCUGGGCAACCUGUGACAGCACUGCACCACCCUCACAGUAAAGAAUUACCUCCUAAUAUCUAAUUUAAAUCUACCCUCUUUCAGUUUAGAGCCAUUGCACCUUGUUCUGUCACUUUUUGCUUUUACAAAAAGUCCUUCUCCAGCUUUCUCGUAGGCCCCUUUAGGCACUCGAAGCUGCUGUAAGGUCUCCCCAGAGCCUUCUCUUCUCCAGGCUGAAUAAGCCCAACUCUCUCAGCCUGUCUUCAUAGGAGGUGCUCCAGCCCCUUGAGCAUCUUCAUGGCCUCCUCUGGAUUCACUCAAGGAGGUCCAUGUCCCUCUCAUGUUGGGGGCCCCAGAGCUGGACACAGGACUGCAGGUGGAUUCUCAUGCAAACAAGGCAGAGGGGAAGAAUCACCUCCUUUGACCUGCUGGUCACAAUUCUCUUGAUGCAGCCCAGAACACAGUUGGCUUUCUGGGCUGCAAGCACACACUGCCCGCUCAUGUUGAGCUUCUCACCAACUAACACCCCCAAGUCCUUCUCCUCAGGGCUGCUCUCAACCCAUUCUCUGCCCAGCCUGUACUUGCGCCUGGGAUUGCCCUGGCCCAGGUGUAGGACCUUGCACUUGGCUUUGUUGAACUUCAUGAGGUUGGCAUCAGCCCACCUCACAAGCGUGUCAAGGUCCCUCUGGACGGCAUCCCUUCCCUCCAGUGUAUCAACCGAACCACACAGCUUGGUGUCGUUGGCAAACUUGCUGAGGGUGCAUCAAUCCCACUGUCCAUGUUGCUGACAAAGAUGCUGAACAGGAUCAGUCCCAACACCGACCCCUGAAGGACACCACUCAUCACAGGACUCCACUUGGACACUGAGCAAUUAACCACAACUCUCUGAGCAUGACCAUCCAGCCAGUUCCUUAUCCACUGAGUGCUCCAUCCAUCACAUCAAUGCCUCUCCAGUUUAGAGACAAGGAUGUCAUGUGGGACAGUGCCUUCCACAAGUUCAGGUAGACGACAUCAGUCACUCUUCCUUUACCCACCAACUCUGUCACCCUGCCAUAGAAGGCUACCAAAUUUGUCAGGCAUGAUUUGCCCCUAGUGAAGCCAUGUUAGCUGUCACCAAUUAUCCCCUUAUUUUCUAUGUGCCUUAGCAUAUUUUCCAGGAGGAUCUGCACCAUGAUCUUGCCGGGCACAGAGGUGAGACUGACUGCUCUGUAGCUCCCCAGGUCUUCCUCUUUUCCCCUUUUUAAAAAUGGGGGCUAUGUUUCCCCUCUUCUAGUCAGCACGAACUCCACUGAACCACCACAGCUACUGAACCAUGACAGAUAAUGGCUUGGCAACUACAUCUGCCUAUUCUCUCAGGACCCACAGACACAUUUCCUUAGGUCCCAUGAAUUUGUGCACCUUCAGGUUCCCUAGAUGAUUUCAAACCUGACCUCCUACAGCAGGCAGUUCUUUUUUUCUCCCAGUUCCUUCCUUUGCAUUCUGCGACUUGGGCAGUGCGACUGGAGCUCUUGCUAGCAAAAGUCACCUAAGUCUUCAAGAAGGAAGAUCCAUAAAAUACAGGUCAGUGAACCUCACUUCCAUCCUUGAGAAGGUGAUGGAGUAAAUAAUUCUGGAAACCACUUCCAGACACAUAAAGGACAAAGACUGUAGCAGUCAGCUUAAAUUUAUGAAGGGAACAUCAUGACUUACCAAUCUGACAGACUUCUAAAUACAGUGUCUAGCUUGGUGGAUGAGUGAAGAACAGUGAAUGAUAUCUACCUUUGUCUCAGAAAGGUUCCUGACAGUCUCUCACAACACCCUUACAGAUAAGCUGACAAAGAAUAGGUAAGUGGACAGUAAGAUUGAAAAAUGGUGAAGGGUCAGGCCUAGAGGCUUUGCAAUCAGCAACACAAAGUCCAGUCAUCAGUGGUGUACCCCAGGGGGCAAUACUGGAUCCAGUCAUGUUUAAUAUCUUCAUUAAUGACCUUGAUGAUAAAACAGGAUGUGCCUUCAACAAGUUUGACACAGAUGAUAUGAUACAAGGUGAUACAAGACUGGGCAGAGUGCUUGAUACACCACGUGGUUGUGCUGCCACCGUUUAGAGGUACCUCAACAGACUGGACAAAUAUGCAAACAGGAACCUCAUGAUGUUCAAUGUAUGAAGAUGUCAAGUCCUGCAUCCAGGAAGCAAAAAGGCCAUGGACCAGGAGAGGCCGGCGACCAACCUGCUGGAAAGCAGCUCUGUAGAAAAUAAUGCAGCACUCCUGCUUGAUACUAAAGGGGCAGCAAUGUGCCCUUGCAGCAAAGGCGGCCAACAGCAACCUGGGUUGCAUUAGGAAGAAUGAUGGCAGCAGGGUGACGGAGGUGAUCCUUCCUACCAGAAGAGGCUGAAAGAGCUGGGACUGUUCUGCCUGGAGAAGAAAAGGCUGAGGAGGAUCUUACCAAU
rnacentral:lncRNA from 1 species